ACACUAAACACAUUCCACAACUUCUAUCUUUUGUAUGCUUUGACUUUUGAUUUUUUUUUCUUUUUUAUUAGAAUCAUAUUCUUUUCUUUUCUUUUCUUUUCACCAUUACUACCUGAAUUUAUUUUUCAUAAAUUUCCUUUUCUCCUCAACUUUAUUUUGCAAAUACUUUUGCAUUUUAAGUGUUCUCCUAUCCUUAAAAUAAGGUGGCAAACAUUAUUACUUUUUUAAAUCAUCUAAGGUUUGUAACAUUUAUAGAACAAAGAUUUUCAUUUUAGGCUCAAAAGGAUUACCAAAGGAUCACACUCUAGCUAGGUAGGCUUUUUGUUAAAGUAAUUUUCACACAAAAUA
rnacentral:lncRNA from 1 species